rnacentral:rRNA from 1 species
AGAACGAACGCUGGCGGCAGGCUUAACACAUGCAAGUCGAACGCUCGUAGCGAUACGAGAGUGGCAGACGGGUGAGUAACACGUGGGAACGUUCCCCUCGGUUCGGAAUAACUCAGGGAAACUUGAGCUAAUACCGGAUACGUCCGCGAGGAGAAAGAUUCAUCGCCGAGGGAUCGGCCCGCGUCUGAUUAGCUAGUUGGUGAGGUAACGGCUCACCAAGGCGACGAUCAGUAGCUGGUCUGAGAGGAUGACCAGCCACACUGGGACUGAGACACGGCCCAGACUCCUACGGGAGGCAGCAGUGGGGAAUCUUGGACAAUGGGCGCAAGCCUGAUCCAGCCAUGCCGCGUGAGUGAUGAAGGCCCUAGGGUUGUAAAGCUCGUUUCGGCGGGGACGAUAAUGACGGUACCGCAGAAGAAGCCCGGCUAACUCGUGCCAGCAGCCGC